rnacentral:rRNA from 1 species
CCUACGGGCGGCAGCAGUGGGGAAUAUUGGACAAUGGGCGAAAGCCUGAUCCAGCAAUGCCGCGUGUGUGAAGAAGGUCUUCGGAUUGUAAAGCACUUUCGACGGGGACGAUGAUGAUGGUACCCGUAGAAGAAGCCCCGGCUAACUUCGUGCCAGCAGCCGCGGUAAUACGAAGGGGGCUAGCGUUGCUCGGAAUGACUGGGCGUAAAGGGCGCGUAGGCGGUUUAUGCAGUCAGAUGUGAAAUCCCCGGGCUUAACCUGGGAACUGCAUUUGAGACGCAUAGACUAGAGGACGAGAGAGGGUUCUGGAAUUCCCAGUGUAGAGGUGAAAUUCGUAGAUAUUGGGAAGAACACCGGUGGCGAAGGCGGCAACCUGGCUCGAUACUGACGCUGAGGCACGAAAGCGUGGGGAGCAAACAGGAUUAGAUACCCUCGUAGUC